GCCCAGCUAUCUUCAAACGCCUGCCCAGCCCAAUCCCCAUAAAAUCCAAUCCGGUCCACACCCUCCCCCCAAUAACCAAACAACAUCGUUUUGGUAAUGUCCAAUCUCAACCGUUGAUUUUCCAUCAUCCGACGGUUAGGAACUCGCCCCUAAACACUUCCAUUUCCCCUCAUCUCUUUCAUGCUCUCUCGGACCCGUCGCCGAAAUCAUCUCUCGGCGGUGGUUGAACAACAAACGGCCUCAAACUUUUACCCUAUGAUCCUCAGCAUCCCCUCUUUCUAAAGCCCUUAUCCUCAUCCCUCAAAUCCCUUAGAAACUCUAGUUACAGUAGAUCUAAAAAACUCCAAAAAUCCUAGUCCGCCUUUUGCCGUUUCUUUCAGUUGAUUUUAGAAUUGAUUUGACCUGAGACUUGUGUUAAUCGUUUGUUCUCAACGAGAAUAUUCGAUUAACACUAGUUUUGGCUUAUCUCGAAGAUGUCGGAAUCCGACCAGAUCGUCACUUAUCAGCCAGUGUUCUAAUCUCUCCUAUAGCCGCUGCCGUUCUAAAAUUCUACAACGCUCGACCCCAUUUGAACAUUGCAGGGUAAAAUCUCCAAAUCCCACACCUUUUUCUCUUUCACAUAUUGUUUCUCCUUCUGGAAUUAAUCAUAAUUUUUCUCUUUGUUAUAAUUGGGUAGGUUUAAAUUCUGCAUGCUCUGCUCUAGAUUGGUAAUCAGUUAUGUGCUUAAUUAAAUUGAAUCACUUUCACUUGAAUUACUAAAUUAGAGCAUAAAUUAGGUGGUUUUCAUGUGCACCAUCUUGUUUGAUUCAGUUGAAAUGAAUUUGGGCCUGUUUGAUAGACAGGCCUGAUGAGUAUGAAAGCCCAUUAAGCGUGGCUGGUUUGUUGGGUAAACAACCCAAGAAAUUGGUUUGUUGAAUGGUAAUUAACAGGGGAUGGGAGGGUAUUUCAAGUUUUUAACUUCGAAAAAUGUUUUUGUAAUUACUAGAAGCUUCUGGGUUGGGGUUUAAGUGUAAAACAUAGAAGUUAAGGGGAGGGAUAAAAAUAGGAUAGAAUCAUUUUAAUUGGACAACUGUCCAUUUCUCUUAAAAAAGAUGCAAUUUUUCUAAAUUUUAGGAGGCUGACAAAUUCUCUUCUAGACCCUCUCUCAUUCUCUUAUAUAGCACAUAUAUAUUCUAUAUAAGAGAACGCACAUUCCCUCACACACAUAUACUAAUUCUCUGCAAAAAGACCUCACCCUUAUAUCCUCAUCCAUGCUGAUUUUCCCUAAAAAACAAAGCUGAAAGUUCAAGUUAGAGACAUAAAACAAAAAUUCGAAAAACCAAAAAAAAAAGAAGAUUUAAAGCUACUUUUCUUCUAACCGGUCCUACUUCACAUUUUCUGGGAUUCUUUUGAGUUGUUUGUUGGCUGGAGAUUGAAGUUGCUCUGUGCUAAGCUUGUUUUUGCUAAGAUUCCUAUCGUUUUUCUUCAAACCUUUAAUUGGUUUUGGUCUCUUGUUUACUUGCUGAUUAAGGUACGAAUCCUGUUUUCAAAUACAUGGGUGUUAUUUUGAUGUAAUGCCGUUAAGUUUGUUGUAAUCAGUUAUUUAUGUAUGAUAAAUGUCUCCAUGUUAAAUGAAACUUGAUUUGGUUCAACUACUUCUAUAUGUGAAAUACAACAUAGAACCAUGUAUAAUAUUAUUUCGUGAAAUUAGUUGCUGAAACCUUAUAUUGUUUGUUUCUUAUGGAUUAAUAUGUUCAUGUGCUAACGUGUGAGCAUUGCUUGAUUAAAGUAAGGAUUUGGAGUUUAAAUUUCAUUCACUUUUGGAGUUAUAGAAUAUCAUCAUCAAGUCUUGAACAAAAGCGAUAGAUCUGGGUGAUAACAGGCCUAGAGGUGGUCAUUAGUAUAAUAGUUUAAUUUGAUUAAGGUUUUUUUAGUUUAGUUUAAUUUACUUCUGUGAAGCUGAUCCAUGGCUUGAUGAUUCAUUUUAAAAGUUAAAUCUGUAAUAAUAGGGAUUCACACAUGUAUUGAAUUUACGAAGUAGGCUGUUUGUUAAUUGAUAGAAUGGUUGUAUGUGUAAUAAGGCUUAAUAGGAUUGAUUUGUUGCUAAUGGCUGUUCGUAUAAUAUGAGGUUUCCCAUAGUAUAUCCCUUUAGUUGGGAAAUCUAAGUUUUUAGUAUUUGUUCUUGGUGAUCUUUUUCCUUUAAAUUUUUGCAAAGCAUGCUGGUUGUCUAAAUUAUGAUCAUGUUUAAAACUCCGUGAGAAUUGUUGGGACACAUUUUUUUUCUUAAAGAGAUGUCAGGGUCCAAUUUGUUUAUAAAAUGGACAGAGUCAAUGACUGUGUGAAUGAUAAGCUAAGCCGGUUUUUGGACAUUAUGAACCCAAUAUGCAUGGGCUCAAUUAAAGCCCACGUAAUUGAGGUGUCUCAUAGUUAAUCUCUUAAAUCUUUUGGUUCUCUUCACAAUAGGCAGUCACAUAAUACAGUAUCACGUUUGCAUUUCUUGAAUGUAAUUAGGAGUGGCCAAUUGUAAAUUUGUUUAGUCGAGAUCGCUUAUACCAUGAUUUGAAAGUGAAUCUAGCAGUCCGUGGACUUUCAGGACCAAAUGAUUUUCCAGCCCACUUUGCUUGUUGAUAAACAAAAACUAACACAAAGAAUUACGAUGCCCACAUGGUGUUUGACAAUUUACCAACAUACAUGUGUUCUUUUUCUUUUCUUUUUUUAUUUAUAAAUUCCAUUUUUUUUUGGGACUUUCACACACGAUCUCAAACUUGAGAAUUAAUCAACUCAUAAACAUUCUUAGUCUGCUUUAGGCGUGUUUAAAUAAAUCAUCAUGAUUAUGAGUAUAGUUCCCGUGGCGUAGUUACAAUACAUAAACCCCAAUUCAAGUGUGCGUUUCACGCGACUUGACCACAACUUCAAAUAAUAAUAAUAAUAAAUAUAUUGUAAAUCCUUGGUGCGUUUCACGUGGCGCGCUUUGCAAUAUGUACCAAAACGACAAAUGUACAACAUCUUAACUUGUUCAAAAAUAGCUCCAUAAAUACUAUAAAGAGGUUACAAUUUAAUCAAAAGCGUCUAGAAGGUAAAAUGCACAUAAGUCUUAAAACAUGUAAUAAAUCAGAUAAUUAGGCCAACUAUUAAUUGUUAAGCUACCGUGCUAAAACUAUGGACUCGGGAGUACCUCACACCUCCUCCGAGGUUAAUAGAAUUUCUUACUCGGUCUUCUGUAUUCGCGGGCCAUAAAAAAUAGAGUCAAUUUUCUCGAUUUGGGAUUUUAAAAUGAACCGGUGACUUGGGACACCAUAACAAUUAUUCCAAGUAGCGACUCUAAACUAAAUAAAUAAUCUCAUUUCAAAUAAUAUCACUUUAAUUAGAAAAACUUGUGUGACCGCUCUGGCAGUGUUGCUGGGGACUUGAACCCAGAAUAUCUGGUUCAGGAUUCAGAAUUUGAGCUUAGAUAACUGUUAUACUUGGCUUUUAUUUAUUAUUUGAUUUUUUUACGUGUUUGAGCCUAAUGUGUUAAAUGUCAUUUUUUACCGUUUUAAUAUUAUUUGAAUUGUAUAUAAAACUUUUACGGCACCCAACUUCUCUCAGAGUCUUCUAUAUCUUCUAGGAAGCGUGCGCUUCGUGUGACUUCUUUUCUGUUAGAGUCAUACCCCUAAUUUUAGAAUGAGAAUUGGACAAGCUGCAAAGCCGGUGAAGCUUCUGUAUUCCCGAUACAUUGCCUCCCCUCCCCUCCCCCCCCCCCCGGUUUGAGUUGUCCGCUCGGGUAAGCCGGGUCUAGAACUCCAAACUCAGGAUUUAAACCUAGAAUAACAUAGCCUCAUGCCGGAUCCUUAGUAGGAACGUUUGUUUGCAUCACGUGCAUUUGAUUUUGGGACUUAACACAGGAGUUGGGUCCAUCUAGGGAAAGUGUACCCGAUAUAAAAGGCAAUCCAAAUGUAUUUUUACAUGCUACUUGUGCAUAUGUUUGUUGCGGUUUGCAUGUUGACCGGCUGCUAGAAUAGGGAAAAAAACCAAAAGUGAGGCAAGAGAGAGAAAUUUACCUGGUUCCUAAAAAUCUGGAUAUUUGAAAUUCCUGAAACUUUGCCGAAAUUUUGAAAAAAAGGAAAAAUAAUUUCAAAACAAGUCAAAUGUUUUCAAAAAGACAUGUUUUUCUGUUUUGUCAACAUUUACCAAACUCGCGGGUCUGAUUUUCACCGGAUGUGAGAUACAUAGGCAACCCCUACCAGGUCCGACCUUAUUUUCGCAAAAUUGACCAAAAUAAGAACCUUUUUGAAAUAUGGUCAUCACCCGUGGCCGUUCUUGUCAAAAUAACCUUAAAACGUUAUGCCAGAAGGUUAUUUUCGCAAGAAUAACCAUAAUGUCAACCCAAGUCAGUCUUUUCCCUGUAAUCAAUACCAGUUGGCAGAAACAACCCUAAAUACUUUCUUCAAGUGUUGAAGGAUCGUAUUUGCAAAAACAACCCCUGUUUUAUUACUAAGUUUAUUGAAUUGUAUUUUUAAAAUUAGCCAUUUUUUGAUUUUGGAAAAUGUGUCGUUUUGAUCAUUUGUCCUUAAUUUGCAUACAGAAUGAGCACCGUUGAGAAUAUACCUUUUCGGGUUGUAGAUGAGAUUCCACUAAGACUCCACAUGUGGUGAAAUAACCUAGGGGAGGUUAGUAACUGUUCUAUGACUAAGGCAAUAUAUGGGCUCACCGGUCUUUUGAAAAUUAAGCCCGGGGUUGAUAUGAGCGAGGCACCGAUACCAUUCUGGGAACCGACACACAAUGUUUUUUACUUUUCAGAUUAUGAAUUGACCCCUACGCUAGGGGAGAUAGCAGGUUAUGCUGAUUUUGAUGGGAGUUUUAGGCAUCAAUAUCCAGUAGUACCCAGAACUGUGACCCCACACAAAUUGUUGGACCUUCUGAGCAUUAAUUGGCAAGUUAAAAAUGAAAAUUUGGCCGAAAGUUUCUGUAGAUACCACUUAUUGUAUAGCUGGUAUGGAGACCCAUACAGAUUUGAGGCUAUAGACACUGGUUUGAGUCACCAAGGGAAGAAAAAUAAGUGGGAAGCAUGCCGAGGUUUAUCCUUCGUAGUCGCAUUCCUCGACGCUCUGAUAUGCCCAAGGAGUGACGGGCACAUAGAGUUGGGACUUGCAGGGAUGGCUGACUUUCUUUUCAAGUAGGCCAACGGUACUAUUGUGCCAAUGAUUCUCGUGAAGAUCUAUCGAGCCCUAGCUGCCUGUCAAGAUGGUGCAAAUUCUUUGAGGGUUGUAAUCUGCUUUUGCAAAUGUGGCUGGUGGAGCAUCUCUAUCAUCACCCAAUAUACAUGAACUACAGAUUAAUUGGCUCAGUUGCAUCGAAGAAUACAAAAAUAGGGUAAACGGCUAUGAGUUGCCGGAAGGUACUGAAGCAUGGUUCACACAUCUGGGUUCUUUAACCAUAAAGCAAAUUGAGUGAACUUUCAGUUGGCUCCCGGUCAACGAGGUUAUCUACAUGUCUGCCGACGUAUGUUUUCUGUUAUUGAUGGGUCUUCGGAGUAUUCAGCCAUAUGCUCCUCAUUGGGUUCUAUGCCAGUUGGGAAGGCAUCAAAUAGUCCCUCACGACGAAAAUUUGAGUGCACAGGUUAUUGAGCUACGCCCAAGGGAUGCAUUCCAAGAAGAAAAGGUUCGCUAGGUUUGGCAACAAUGUAGGUUUCUGGAGCCACAGACUUAGGUGCGGGAUUUAUCCUCUGGUGAAGUAGAGUCUAACUACACAACAUGGUAUGGCAAGAGAGCCCAGGUCAAUCAAGAACCAGAACAUCCCGCCAAAGGGCCCCAUGUCCAACAAUUCACUUUACGGGGCACUAGAACAGUGGGUCUGGUUAGCCAAAGAGCAGGAAUAUCGGGCUACCAUAAGCAAAUUAGAGAAUCAAGUCAGAACCAUCAAAAUUUGAAAGUGGGUUGCAAGCCGCUGAAGGUGAGGGAGAAAAGAAAAGGUUGGCCUGGAAAAAUUAAGCCCUCCAAGCUUAGCUCUGGGAAAUGAAAAUAGCUACCGAAACGCUGGUAAGAAGUGAGAGGGACGAAAAAAUCAUAAGUAACCUGAGGCAAAAAAUGCAUAACUAUGCGGCUGACCUGACAAAGGCCGAGAGAGAUUUAGCAAAAGCUCGGGUAAGGGUGGAGAAAUAUGCAGAAGACUAGAAAAGGUCAGCCCGCCAGUUGAAGCAAAGAUAUGACAGAGAAGUUGCAAUUUUAUAGAAAAACUGGCCACCCUCGAAAACAAAAUGGGUCAGCAGGUAAAGGACUUCAAAGCAGAAUGAGAAUAUUGUCAUGAACUGAUUAACCAAUUGGAAGAGAGGGUGCUGCAGUUGCAAGACCAAAACAAUGAGACCACGCAAAUAAUAGAAGUUCGGGAACAAUAGAUUGGGCGAUUGCUCCAGGAAAAAGGCGCUAUUAAGCUCAGAAUUAAGGAAAUAGCUGACUACACUGCAAUGAAAUGCCAUGAGUGUGAAAAUAUGACUAGAGCUAUGUUCUUUGCUUCAGUGCUGUGUUUUGCCCGCCAGGUCAUGGUCGAUCUGGAGUUCCUUCAGGAAGAGCUUACAUGCAGGCCCGCGCUGAGACCGACUGAUGUCCCGCAGUCCCCCGGAAUAACGUUUGAGGCUCAUCUGUGUUCUUAGUUGUUCAAGUCAUUGAGUUUGUAUUUUACUUUUUCUCACAUCAAGUUUGUUUGUCCUUUCAUCCAUUUCGAGUCUGUUGUUAUUUGUUUUGAGUCUGUAUGUUUCCUUCUUAAGUCAAUUAUUAAUAUCUUCGAGUCUUUGUAAUGAAAAAACGAAAAAGAUUUUAUCAAUGAAAUAUUGAAAAACCCCAAAAUUUUCUUUUCUUUCAUUUUGCAUUUACUCCCCUGAACUAUAUAAUGGUCUGGUUCAUACGACAUCAUGAUACGUAGGCAAUCUCUAUCGGAUGCGAUCAUAACCAUAAUUAAUCUAAGUGAAAAUAAAUAAAAAAAGAGAAAAUUGAGAGACAAUAAGAAAAGGAAGAAAAUGUGAUAAAAACAAAAGUGAAAUCCAAGAAUGAUAAAACAAAAGCGAAAAGGAAGUGGAAAUGAAAUAAAAGAAUUACAGAGUGAAAAAAAAGUGAAAGCUGGGAUGAAACACGCAGACGUUACAAAAACAUUUUAGAAGUGUUUAACUGUUCAGGUGUAUUGCGUCCCCAAUGUGCGAUUCCCUAUAUGUUAAAUGUCUCAAAACUGACAAGGUUGUUGUGUGUGUAAAUAAUCCAGGUUCUAUUCAGGUGGUUGGUUUUGUUGGUAAUCUGGCUUCUCACCCCUAUUUUACAAGAUCCAAAGGAAGGGUUCCAAUGUCUUCAGAAAGCAGUCUCCGCAUUGUCGAUCCUGAGGAUAACCCUAUACCAGUUAUGUCACAACUGGAAAUGGCCACUGUCGAAGAAAAUAAGAGGCUACGUCUCUG
rnacentral:lncRNA from 1 species